rnacentral:rRNA from 1 species
UACGUAGGGUGCAAGCGUUGUCCGGAAUUAUUGGGCGUAAAGAGCUCGUAGGCGGUUUGUCGCGUCUGCUGUGAAAACCCGAGGCUCAACCUCGGGCCUGCAGUGGGUACGGGCAGACUAGAGUGCGGUAGGGGGGAUUGGAAUUCCUGGUGUAGCGGUGGAAUGCGCAGAUAUCAGGAGGAACACCGAUGGCGAAGGCAGGUCUCUGGGCCACUACUGACGCUGAGAAGCGAAAGCAUGGGGAGCGAACAGG